rnacentral:rRNA from 1 species
AUUGAACGCUGGCGGCAGGCCUAACACAUGCAAGUCGAGCGGCAGCGGAAAGUAGCUUGCUACUUUGCCGGCGAGCGGCGGACGGGUGAGUAAUGUCUGGGAAACUGCCUGAUGGAGGGGGAUAACUACUGGAAACGGUAGCUAAUACCGCAUGACCUCGAAAGAGCAAAGUGGGGGAUCUUCGGACCUCACGCCAUCGGAUGUGCCCAGAUGGGAUUAGCUAGUAGGUGAGGUAAUGGCUCACCUAGGCGACGAUCCCUAGCUGGUCUGAGAGGAUGACCAGCCACACUGGAACUGAGACACGGUCCAGACUCCUACGGGAGGCAGCAGUGGGGAAUAUUGCACAAUGGGCGCAAGCCUGAUGCAGCCAUGCCGCGUGUGUGAAGAAGGCCUUAGGGUUGUAAAGCACUUUCAGCGAGGAGGAAGGCACCAUACUUAAUACGUGUGGUGAUUGACGUUACUCGCAGAAGAAGCACCGGCUAACUCCGUGCCAGCAGCCGCGGUAAUACGGAGGGUGCAAGCGUUAAUCGGAAUUACUGGACGUAAAGCGCACGCAGGCGGUUUGUUAAGUCAGAUGUGAAAUCCCCGCGCUUAACGUGGGAACUGCAUUUGAAACUGGCAAGCUAGAGUCUUGUAGAGGGGGGUAGAAUUCCAGGUGUAGCGGUGAAAUGCGUAGAGAUCUGGAGGAAUACCGGUGGCGAAGGCGGCCCCCUGGACAAAGACUGACGCUCAGGUGCGAAAGCGUGGGGAGCAAACAGG